rnacentral:rRNA from 1 species
CGAAAAGGGCGUUUGGUGGAUGCCUUGGCAGUAAGAGGCGAUGAAAGACGUGAUACUCUGCGAUAAGCCAUGGGGAGCUGAGAAUAAGCUUUGAUCCAUGGAUUUCUGAAUGGGGGAACCCACUUGAUUGUUUGUUAUUGAGAGCUUGCGUUCUCAAUAAUGAGCAAAACCAAGUACUUUUAACCUGAAUACAUAGGGUUUUAAGAGCAAACCCGGGGAACUGAAACAUCUAAGUACCCGGAGGAAAGGAAAUCAAUUGAUACUCCGCUAGUAGUGGCGAGCGAACGCGGAUCAGCCGAGACCAAUAAGUGACUGGAACGACCUGGGAAGGUCGGCCAUAGUGGGUGAUAGCCCCGUACAGGAAGCUUUGAGGUACGUAUUAAGUAGGGCGGGACACGUGAAAUCCUGUUCGAAGAUCGG